CUGAUUUUACAUUAACACCUCUUCCUUUAGGUGCCUUGGUCAGACCAGACUGUAGCAUUUAUACAGGUUCUUCCAUUUCAUAUCAGCUUCUGCCAAUUUUCACUCCUCGCAUCUAGGUCUUGUGGUAGGUUCUUUUAUUAUUACUCGGGCCUGCGAUCUGGCCCACUCACAUAUAUAUCAAUAUGCUCAGAUACUUAUUACAUCUUAUAUAUAGGUCGCAGCACAUAUCUACUGCUACCCUCUUUUCCCUAAUUCUGCAAGAAUCAUAAUUUCUGAUUC